rnacentral:rRNA from 1 species
AGUGAACGCUGGCGGUAGGCCUAACACAUGCAAGUCGAACGGCAGCACAGUAAGAGCUUGCUCUUACGGGUGGCGAGUGGCGGACGGGUGAGGAAUAAACCGGAAUCUACUUUUUCGUGGGGGAUAACGUAGGGAAACUUACGCUAAUACCGCAUACGACCUACGGGUGAAAGCAGGGGAUCUUUGGACCUUGCGCGAUUGAAUGAGCCGAUGUCGGAUUAGCUAGUUGGCGGGGUAAAGGCCCACCAAGGCGACGAUCCGUAGCUGGUCUGAGAGGAUGAUCAGCCACACUGGAACUGAGACACGGUCCAGACUCCUACGGGAGGCAGCAGUGGGGAAUAUUGGACAAUGGGCGAAAGCCUGAUCCAGCAAUACCGCGUGGGUGAAGAAGGCCUUCGGGUUGUAAAGCCCUUUUGUUGGGAAAGAAAAGCAGCAGGUUAAUACCCCGCUGUUCUGACGGUACCCAAAGAAUAAGCACCGGCUAACUUCGUG